rnacentral:rRNA from 1 species
UACAGAGGUGGCAAGCGUUGUUCGGAUUUAUUGGGCGUAAAGGGUCCGUAGGCGGUUCGGAAAGUCAGAUGUGAAAUCCCACAGCUCAACUGUGGAACUGCAUUUGAAACUUCCGGACUAGAGUGUGAGAGGGGUAAGGGGAAUUCCCGGUGUAAGGGUGAAAUCUGCAGAGAUCGGGAGGAACACCAGUCGCGAAGGCGCCUUACUGGCUCACUACUGACGCUCAGGGACGAAAGCUAGGGGAGCAAACGGG